UCGUAGGGCUUCGGCCCUGUCGAGAUAGAACCCUUGCCUUUUUGAGUACCUUUCGUUUCCUCGGCAGGCUCGCCUGCCAAUGGGGACCACAAAAAACACUUUGCAGUACCUGUAACAGUCUGAACAAACAAACAAAAAUCA
rnacentral:misc_RNA from 1 species